GAACCGCACGUGGAACUGCUUGUUCUGACCUCUCCCCAAACCCUCGUUUUCAGGAUCCAGCCCAGUUUUCCUGCACGCAGCUUCCUGGCAGUGCUGCAGGUGAAGGCGAUGGUGGAGAUGCCGAAAUGAACAACUGGGAGCUUUGGAUGGACUGGCUGCAAUCGUGAGCAAAGAACAGCAGUGAAGACAUUUUACCCAAGGUCCAACCAUAGACAGUUUUCCUGCUGUCCUUAUUUCCACUGGCUGGGAAUGCUGUCACUGAAGGUCAGCAGGCCCAGUGUUCCAGAUGGGCAUCCUUGACUGAGCCCGUUACAGUCCGCCUGUCGCCACUGAUGGAGUGGG